CUUGCUGGAAUGGUCUAGUUGGUUAUGACGACUGCCUAACACGCAGUAGGUCCCGAGUUCGAUUCUCGGUGAAGG
rnacentral:tRNA from 1 species